CCUACGGGAGGCAGCAGUGAGGAAUAUUGGUCAAUGGACGAGAGUCUGAACCAGCCAAGUAGCGUGAAGGAUGACUGCCCUAUGGGUUGUAAACUUCUUUUAUAUGGGAAUAAAACGUUCCACGUGUGGGAUUUUGUAUGUACCAUAUGAAUAAGGAUCGGCUAACUCCGUGCCAGCAGCCGCGGUAAUACGGAGGAUCCGAGCGUUAUCCGGAUUUAUUGGGUUUAAAGGGUGCGUAGGUGGAGUGUUAAGUCAGUUGUGAAAGUUUGCGGCUCAACCGUAAAAUUGCAGUUAAAACUGGCAGUCUUGAGUACGGUAGAGGUGGGCGGAAUGCGUGGUGUAGCGGUGAAAUGCUUAGAUAUCACGAAGAACUCCGAUUGCGAAGGCAGUUCACUGGACUGCAACUGACACUGAGGCUCGAAAGUGUGGGUAUCAAACAGGAUUAGAUACCCGAGUAGUC
rnacentral:rRNA from 1 species